UACCUGGUUGAUCCUGCCAGUAGUCAUAUGCUUGUCUUAAAGAUUAAGCCAUGCAUGUCUCAGUAUAAGUCUUCACACGACAAAACUGCGAAUGGCUCAUUAAAACAGUUAUAGUCUAUUUGAUGGUCGACAGUUACACGGAUAACUGCGGUAAUUCUGGAGCUAAUACGUGCGAAAAACCGCGACUUCUCGGAAGCGGCGCAUUUAUUGGAUACAGAACCAAUGCUCUUCGGGGCUUUUGGAUGAUUCACAAUAAACGAGUGGAGCGCAUGCCUUGUGGCGGCGCUAAAUCAUUCGAGUUUCUGACCUAUCAGUUUCCGACGGUAGGGUAUUGGCCUACCGUGACAUUGACGGGUAACGGAGAAUUAGAGUUCUAUUCCGGAGAGGGAGCCCGAGAAACGGCUACCACAUCUAAGGAAGGCAGCAGGCGCGCAAAUUACCCAAUCCCGAUACGGGGAGGUAGUGACAAGAAAUAACAAAGCAGGCGCUUACCGCGUUCUGCUAUUGGAAUGAGUAGAAUUUAAAUCACUUUUCGACUAUCCAUUGGAGGGCAAGUCUGGUGCCAGCAGCCGCGGUAAUUCCAGCUCCAAUAGCGUAUAUUAAAGUUGUUGCGGUAAAAAAGCUCGUAGGUGGAUUUCUGUUGAAUGAGGCCGGUCCAUACCACGUAUGCGCAUCUGGUUCUCUUUCGGCAUCCUUGCAUUGGACGUUUUUGCGCUUGAUUGCGUGAGGCGGUUGGUGCAACUUUUACUUUGAGGAAAUUAGAGUGUUCACGGCAGGCUAUCGCCCGAAUACAUUAGCAUGGAAUAAUGAGAUAGGAUUCCGGUUCUAUUUUGUUGGUUUCUAGAAUUGGAAUAAUGAUUAAUAGGAACAGUUGGGGGUAUCCGUAUCAUGGCGUCAGAGGUGGAAUUCUUGGAUUGCCAUGCGACGAACUACUGCGAAAGCAUUUACCAAGGAUGUUUUCAUUACUCAAGAACGAAGGCUGAAGGAUCGAAGAUGAUUAGAUACCAUCGUAGUUUCAGCAGUAAACUGUGCCAACUCAGAAUCCCGCAUCAUUCAUUUCGAUAUGCGGGGCGCUGUAUGAGAUAUCAAAGUUUUUGGGUUCCGGGGGGAGUACAAGCGCAAGCUAGAAACUUAAAGGAAUUGACGGAAGGGCACCACCAGGAGUGGAGCCUGCGGCUUAAUUUGACUCAACACGGGGAAACUCACCAGGUCCAGACAUAAUAAGGAUUGACAGAUUGAUAGCUCUUUCUUGAUUUUAUGGGUGGUGGUGCAUGGCCGUUCUUAGUUCGUGGAGUGAUUUGUCUGCUUAAUUGCGUUAACGAACGAGACCUUAACCUGCUAAAUAGGAGCGCCUAUCUCCGGAUAAGCGCCUUUCUUCUUAGAGGGACUGUAUGCGUUUCAGCAUGCGGAAGUUUGAGGCUAAAACAGGUCUGUGAUGCCCUUCGAUGUUCUGGGCUGCACGCGCGCUACACUGAUGCUUUCAACGAGUGUACAACCUUGCCCGAUAGGGUUGGGUAACCUUUUGAACCAGCAUCGUGAUGGGGAUUGACAAUUGCAAUUAUUUGUCACCAACGAGGAAUUCCUAGUAAUGAUGGAUCAUCAGUUCAUCGUGAUUACGUCCCUGCCCUUUGUACACACCGCCCGUCGCUCCUACCGAUUGAUUGUUGAGGUGAAUACUUCGGACCGAACCUCGUCGGGGCAACUCGUUCGAGGAUUGGAAAGUUGAGUAAACCUCUGCGAUUAGAGGAAGGAGAAGUCGUACACAAGGUUUCCGUAGGUGAACCUGCAGAAGGAUC
rnacentral:rRNA from 1 species